ensembl:lncRNA
GUGAGGGAAGAGAGAUCAUCUCUUUGUGUUCAGUAAGUCUCAACAGUAAUGUCUACUGAUGAUAUAGUGUGCAGCACCACAGUAAGAUGGGAAAAAAUAGGAAAGAUAGGAGAGGAAGUAAGAGGUAAAUAUGGCUCUGGGCCUUCAGCUUAGUGAUGAAUUUAAUCUCAUGCAUGGUCCAGGGUUCAUCCCAUUUCUGAUUCUUCUUUUCUAUUACCACAUUGAAUAAAUUUCAGGUUAACUCUAGGAAAACAAAAUUAAAUAUAUGUAUAUAUAUAGCAGUUCUCAGCAACUGUUUGCUGACCUAUCUCUCUGGCUACAUGUCAGUAGAGCUCAUACAAGGGAAGGGCAGGAAUGGGCAUGGGAAGGGGAGGAAAGGCAGGACUGCUCUUUUCCAGGACAGAAGUUUUAGAUCGGUUUAGAACAGUUGUGAAGCAGCAGGACUGGAGUCAAAGCUGGAGUGAAAUUUAGGUGCUCCACGUGAUAUUUAGGAAGAGCCUUCAGGUCAUCUAAGCACUGAGUAUAUCUCUCCACAAUUCAGUAGGUUUACAAUGAAGGAAAAAUAACUUUCUACAUAGCAGAGCAAUGAUAAAAAGUCUUUCAGAAAUGAUAUUUUCGUGGGAAAAUAAAACUUUCUUCUUUGUUUUUAAUACGUCCCAUAGAAACACAUACAUACUUUAAUUACAUAGUUCAGAUUGUUGGCUAUUCAGUGUCUGUAGCAAAUCUUCACUUUUCCUGAAUUUCUCUGUUCACAUUGAUAAUAUAAUUUCACAAAAAACUGAACAGAUUAGUUUGCAUUCUGUUUUUUCAAAGCAUCACAUGAAAUCCAUCCUGUUUUUCUAUUUUGCGUGUUCUCAUUUUCUUUUCUGUUUCAUUGUUGGUUUUUUUUCCCCCAUAAGUGACUUUGAGCUUCUGUCUAGAACAGUGAUCGUGCAAAAAAAGAUAUUUAUGUAGCAUCUGAAAGCUUGGCAGGAUAUUGUUGCAAAAAUCCCACAGACACUCCAUUAGCUUGUUAAAAGGAAAGGGACAGAAAAAGAAAGAAAGAAAAAGCAAGAAAGCUCCAAUACAUGUUUUCUCUGCAUAUUUGGCAAUUGAAAUGUAAUAGCAUUCAUGCUUGGUGAUUUUCAAAACUACAGGCUUGAGAUUAUAGAACUAGACUUUUAGAACGUUGAUUAUUUUACUAAGAAGGGCUUGUGUGCUCAUCUGAUAAGAUAGGGUGAAUAAUUUGUGAUUUCUCGUGCUUGCUCAACUAACUGAAUCAGCUCAUAGUUUAAGCAUCUAGUGAUGAUAUUUGUGCAAGUUAUUUGUGACCCUUAAGUGCAUUUAAAAGUGUGUUGAAUACAUUCCCAUUGUGGAAAAUUUAGAAGGACACCAUUAUCAAUUUCAGAUAAAUCUCCGGCACAAGAAAGAACAGACUUGUUUGUCAUUGUGAAUUAAAUGUUUAUGUCCAGCAGAGUGGCUGAUGAGUUUAUUUUAGUUCAGAUCCAUAAAUGCCACAGAGAAAAAGGGCUGUCCAUUUAAAGCUAUUUUAUCAGCUUUGAUUUGCUCUAUAAUCUUUUUUCUUUCCUUUUCCCUUAAUUUGUUGCUACAUUUCUUUUUUUUUUUAAUAAUUGAGAUCUGAAGUAUGUUGUC